ensembl:miRNA
CGGGUGGAGCAGUUGCAGGUGCAGAGCUUGGUGGUAGUAGCAAAAACUCAAAGGAGAACUUGGAAGGCCGAAGUGGAGAAGGGUUCCAUGUG